rnacentral:lncRNA from 1 species
AUCAGAGAGAGGAAAGCUCUAGAAGGAAGUCAUGGCUUAGGAACCAGCUUGGCUGUUUUGUCAAAUAAAUGUCGGUUGUUCCAGAGCGACUUCUGUAAACUCAAGUUAUUGCAUUUUUUUUUUUUUGUGGAAUGAUUUCUUUCCUAGUUUAUAACAUAAACUAAUCUCAUAAUAAAUGCCUUAAAAAUAAAAAUUUUCAAGUGUACCUGGGGAACUACAUUGACCGGUUUUAUUAUUAGAUGCAAAAAGGGGGGUUUAAAUAUUGAUGCUGUAACAUUGAGGAGAGCAAACCGUGGGUCGCGUAGAGAUUUUAUACUCAGAAUGUAAGGUUUCUAAAUGGAUAAAUAGGCAAAAGGGAUUUUGUUGGUUGGUGUGUGAGCUAAAAUCUAGGAUUUAAUUGUGUUCUUAGAAGGAAACCAAAAUAGCACGAAACUCAGGAGGGAAAUUUAAAAAAAAAUGACAAUUGUGGUGAAUGUUUCUCAUUUUGAGUAAAAUCUAGUCCAUGGGAUGACAUUUGUCGUGGUAUGUUGCAAUGCCUUAUUUAUACACUUAAUCUUAUUUUGAUUUACUCUAAUUUAUCUGGUAUCAGCAGCCUGUUAGAUGAUAAUUUAAAAAUCUGCUGCUACCGUAAUUGCUGUAGGAAACUUUCCUAAUGAUAAUUUUAUUCCCUGGAAUAAUUUAACUUCCCAUUUCGAAUGCACAUCUCGACAUUGCAAAAAGUCUGUGUUGGCAGCAGAAGAUAUCUGUGUUUGCUGAGAGUGAUGAGGGCCUUUAAGUGGGUGGCAGCACUAGACUUUAGAUUUUACGGUAAUGAGUUGGACUAAAAUUACCUUUUGUUCCACGGGAACUUCUCUGUUGGGUGGAGCACAAACAGAGAAGUAUAUAAGAAUGUUUAAAAGCUUGAAGAUGCUUCCCCAGAAGUGCCUUCUAGAUGCACACUGGGUUUAUAGAGUCCUAUUUUGUCAGCUUGUACACGCAUUAUGGCCAGAGUCACUUCUCGCCCUGGUGACACGUUUGAAGACCUGUAUCUGCUUUUUCCUGAGCCGAGAGUGGGGAAGCUUGGUGGUUUCCAUCCCUAAUUCAUCACCACAGAGCGCAGCCACACAGCUCGACCUGGCUUUCUGAAGGGAGCUGCAUUCCAAAAGAAGGAGCUGCAUUCCAAAAGAACCUCUGUGGCCUGCCUGUCCCCGAGAAGGAGAGUAAAUGAGACCCUCAAGGACAGGGUCUGUUUGGAAAGGCAGAGGAACUUCUUUCACAAAGGGUCUGAGCUUCUAUGGCUGCUUUCCAGGCAUGUCUUCAGCCAGUCUUGGAGGUGGGCGACUCCUACAACUGUCCCUCAGUGUCUGUGGGGUUUUGUUUCAGUUUGGCCUCUGACACCAAUACCCUCAGAUGUCCAUGUUCCUUACAGGACGUCACGUACUAUUUGUAUGUAGCCUUUGCACCUUCCUCAAUGUGUUUUCAAUCACCUCAUGAUUAGCCAGAGUGCCUGACAUGGUGUGAAUCACUGCUAACACAGUUAUACUCUGUUACUUAGAGAAUAUCAAG